rnacentral:rRNA from 1 species
UAGGGAAUCUUCGGCAAUGGGGGGAACCCUGACCGAGCAACGCCGCGUGAGUGAAGAAGGUUUUCGGAUCGUAAAGCUCUGUUGUUAAGGAAGAACGAGUGUGAGAAUGGAAAGUUCAUACUGUGACGGUACUUAACCAGAAAGGGACGGCUAACUACGUGCCAGCAGCCGCGGUAAUACGUAGGUCCCGAGCGUUGUCCGGAUUUAUUGGGCGUAAAGCGAGCGCAGGCGGUUAGAUAAGUCUGAAGUUAAAGGCAGUGGCUCAACCAUUGUAGGCCUUGGGAACUGUUUAACUUGAGUGCAGGAAGGGGGAAUGGAAUUCCAUGUGGAGCGGGGAAAUGCGUAGGUAUAUGGAGGAAAACCGGUGGCGAAAGCGGCUCUGUGGUCUGUAACUGACGCUGGGGCUCGAAAGCGUGGGGAGCGAACAGG